UACGUAGGGGCCAAGCGUUGUCCGGAUUUAUUGGGCGUAAAGAGCUCGUAGGCGGUUCGGCAAGUCGAAUGUGAAAUCUCCACGCUCAACGUGGAGGGGUCAUUCGAUACUGCCGUGACUUGAGUACGGUAGGGGAGUGUGGAAUUCCCGGUGUAGCGGUGAAAUGCGCAGAGAUCGGGAGGAACACCCGUAGCGAAGGCGGCACUCUGGGCCGAUACUGACGCUGAGGAGCGAAAGCGUGGGAAGCGAACAGG
rnacentral:rRNA from 1 species